CCUACGGGAGGCAGCAGUGAGGAAUAUUGGUCAAUGGCCGUAAGGCUGAACCAGCCAAGUCGCGUGAAGGAAGACGGAUCUAUGGUUUGUAAACUUCUUUUAUAGGGGGAUAAAGGUAUCCACGUGUGGCUAUUUGCAUGUACCCUAUGAAUAAGCAUCGGCUAAUUCCGUGCCAGCAGCCGCGGUAAUACGGAGGAUGCGAGCGUUAUCCGGAUUUAUUGGGUUUAAAGGGAGCGUAGGUUGUUUUUUAAGUCAGCGGUGAAAGUUUGUGGCUCAACCAUAAAAUUGCCGUUGAAACUGGAAGACUUGAGUGUGUUUGAGGUAGGCGGAAUGCGUGGUGUAGCGGUGAAAUGCAUAGAUAUCACGCAGAACUCCGAUUGCGAAGGCAGCUUACUAAGCCAUAACUGACACUGAAGCACGAAAGCGUGGGGAUCAAACAGGAUUAGAUACCCUUGUAGUC
rnacentral:rRNA from 1 species